AUUUAACGGUCAACUCAGAACUGGCACGGACUAGGAGAAUCCGACUGUCUAAUUAAAACAAAGCAUUGCGAUGGCCCCAGCGGGUGUUGACGCAAUGUGAUUUCUGCCCAGUGCUCUGAAUGUCAACGUGAAGAAAUUCAAGCAAGCGCGGGUAAACGGCGGGAGUAACUAUGACUCUCUUUCGGGGGAGUCAUAGAAGUGCCAACCACACCCCCUCCUCGUGGGUCCCGCCGGGCAACAGACUUGUCUGGCUAAGAGUGUGGUGGCUAAUGGGUGGGGUGGGUUGCCAGCCCCCCCCACCGACAGUUGUUGGCCCAAACAAAACAAUAAAGCCUCGGAGAACCCCUGGGCCCUCUGGCCCAGGAAACCAACAACCUAUUCCCCCUU
rnacentral:ncRNA from 1 species